UGGGGAAUAUUGGACAAUGGGCGCAAGCCUGAUCCAGCAAUGCCGCGUGUGUGAAGAAGGCCUUCGGGUUGUAAAGCACUUUUAUCAGGAGCGAAACGCUGUCGGCUAAUACCCGGCGGAACUGGCGGUACCUGAGGAAUAAGCACCGGCUAACUUCGUGCCAGCAGCCGCGGUAAUACGAAGGGUGCAAGCGUUAAUCGGAAUUACUGGGCGUAAAGCGUGCGUAGGCGGUUUCUUAAGUCUGCUGUGAAAUCCCCGGGCUCAACCUGGGAAUGGCAGUGGAUACUGGAAGGCUAGAGUGCGUCAGAGGGUGGUGGAAUUCCCGGUGUAGCGGUGAAAUGCGUAGAGAUCGGGAGGAACAUCAGUGGCGAAGGCGGCCACCUGGGACAACACUGACGCUGAGGCACGAAAGCGUGGGGAGCAAACAGGAUUAGAUACCCUGGUAGUCCACGCCCUAAACGAUGCGAACUGGAUGUUGGUCUCAACUCGGAGAUCAGUGUCGAAGCUAACGCGUUAAGUUCGCCGCCUGGGGAGUACGGUCGCAAGACUGAAACUCAAAUGAAUUGAC
rnacentral:rRNA from 1 species